rnacentral:rRNA from 1 species
GAUGAACGCUGGCGGCGUGCCUAAUACAUGCAAGUCGAGCGAACGGACGAGAAGCUUGCUUCUCUGAUGUUAGCGGCGGACGGGUGAGUAACACGUGGAUAACCUACCUAUAAGACUGGGAUAACUUCGGGAAACCGGAGCUAAUACCGGAUAAUAUUUUGAACCGCAUGGUUCAAAAGUGAAAGACGGUCUUGCUGUCACUUAUAGAUGGAUCCGCGCUGCAUUAGCUAGUUGGUAAGGUAACGGCUUACCAAGGCAACGAUGCAUAGCCGACCUGAGAGGGUGAUCGGCCACACUGGAACUGAGACACGGUCCAGACUCCUACGGGAGGCAGCAGUAGGGAAUCUUCCGCAAAGGGCGAAAGCCUGACGGAGCAACGCCGCGUGAGUGAUGAAGGUCUUCGGAUCGUAAAACUCUGUUAUUAGGGAAAAACAUAUGUGUAAGUAACUGUGCACAUCUUGACGGUACCUAAUCAGAAAGCCACGGCUAACUACGUG